UAAAAAAAGUUCAUUAUUAUCAGGCUGCUGCUGCUACUGUUGUUGUUGUUAUUGUUGUUUUAAGUGUAUUUCAGUAGGCUACAACUGAGGAUGGCGACCCCAAUCCAUGUCGUGAAGCCAGAUGCCCCUGAAAAUCGCCAGCAAGCUCGCCAGUACAGGGAAAGAAGGAUGGUCUUCCCUCACCUCCACUGCAGUUGCUGAACCAGUCGACUGCCCUGUCCCAUGCAGAGAAGAUCCUUGUGAAUGAGGGGAUCCCCACACAGACACAUCAGCAGCGUCUGGGAAAGCAGCAGGCAAGUACCUCCAUGGGUGAUCCCUCAUCAUGGCCAGGUGAUGCUGAUCUGGAAGCUGCAAGUCAGGCUGUGGAAGAUUUGCUCAAGACCCAGAGCUACAGAUAAGAGCCAGCCCUAGCAGUCAAUCUGUUAGAUUGCCUUCUCAGGAUCCCACUGUCUGACCCAAGGAGUCAGAGCCCACUGUCAGGUCCAAGAAGUCCAGAUCCACUGUCCAGCCCGAGCAAUCAGAAUCCCAUUCCACAACCCAGGACCGUGUUUCACCCAAAGAACGACUGCUUACAGACUCCCCUAGCUACCUCCGGUGCCACAUCAGCCAGCGGUCCUCCCUUCACCGGACUACCCGAUCUUGCAGUAUGUGCCCACGCCUACCAUGGCUGGGACAGAAAUGUUGAAGGAGAGGACCGACAUAACUAUGCCACUCUCCUGCUCUAAACCGCCUUCACUUCUGCUGCCACUGGAGAGAAAAACCCCAGCCACUCCUCUUCUCUCCCUCUCUGUCUCUUCCGCUACAGCCACCUGUGGGAUUUCUGUCCCCAUCACACUUCUUGCAGUCAUCACCACUCAGGCAACUCCUCACAUUGCUGGUCCAGCCACAUUGCCUACCAGUCAGACCACUUUUACGUCACACAGUACAUCUGAUAUCUGCAAUCUGGGCAAGAUCUAUGCAUUACAAACACAAACCUUGGAACUGGGAGCCAAACUGUCAAGGGUGCAAAACCCCCCGAACUGCCCGCUCUGUG